UACGAAGGGGGCUAGCGUUGCUCGGAAUCACUGGGCGUAAAGCGCACGUAGGCGGAUUGCUAAGUCAGGGGUGAAAUCCUGGAGCUCAACUCCAGAACUGCCUUUGAUACUGGCGACCUUGAGUCCGGGAGAGGUGAGUGGAACUGCGAGUGUAGAGGUGAAAUUCGUAGAUAUUCGCAAGAACACCAGUGGCGAAGGCGGCUCACUGGCCCGGUACUGACGCUGAGGUGCGAAAGCGUGGGGAGCAAACAGGAGUUAGAUACCCGAGA
rnacentral:rRNA from 1 species